UAAGGGAAUCUUCGGCAAUGGACGGAAGUCUGACCGAGCAACGCCGCGUGAGUGAAGAAGGUUUUCGGAUCGUAAAGCUCUGUUGUUAGAGAAGAACGUUGGUAGGAGUGGAAAAUCUACCAAGUGACGGUAACUAACCAGAAAGGGACGGCUAACUACGUGCCAGCAGCCGCGGUAAUACGUAGGUCCCGAGCGUUGUCCGGAUUUAUUGGGCGUAAAGCGAGCGCAGGCGGUUCUUUAAGUCUGAAGUUAAAGGCAGUGGCUUAACCAUUGUACGCUUUGGAAACUGGAGGACUUGAGUGCAGAAGGGGAGAGUGGAAUUCCAUGUGUAGCGGUGAAAUGCGUAGAUAUAUGGAGGAACACCGGUGGCGAAAGCGGCUCUCUGGUCUGUAACUGACGCUGAGGCUCGAAAGCGUGGGGAGCAAACAGGAUUAGAUACCCUGGUAGUCCACGCCGUAAACGAUGAGUGCUAGGUGUUAGGCCCUUUCCGGGGCUUAGUGCCGCAGCUAACGCAUUAAGCACUCCGCCUGGGGAGUACGACCGCAAGGUUG
rnacentral:rRNA from 1 species